UGCUUGGCUAGGGUGAAACCCGGAAUUUGCAUAAUCUGGGUGUGGCAACAGCGGCUGGUAACCCCAGCCCCUUAAGGACCAGAAGUUCUCUGCUACCUAUGGAGUUUGAAGACAGUUUCAGAGGUUCAGUCUAUUCAUCAAGGUGGGAAACAUGGCAGUGUCAAGGCAGACGUGGUGCUGGAGGAACUGAGAGUUCUAUCUUGAUCCAAAGGCAGCCAGGAAGAGACUGAGUGCCACGCUGUGCGGCGUUUGAACAUGGAAACCUCAAAGCCCACCCCCACAGUGACACACUUCCUCCAACAAGGCCAUGCCUACUCCUACAAGACCAUACUUCCUAAUGGUGCCACUCAAUAUGGGCCAAGCAUUCAAACACGUGAGUCUAUGGGGGCCAAACCUAUUCAAACCACCACACUGUCACAAGCACAGUGAAUUCAUAGGAGUGGCUGCCCUAAGAAGCUUCUAUUAGCAGUGGGUGGUGCUUAACACAGCUAGUCUAAAUGCAGAGAAUAAGAAAUUGAAGAAUGUUCACCCCUAUGUGGGACAUCUGGAUCACAUCCCUCCCUCCUAAGGCUCAGAGAGGGCAUAACAGCAGAAUAACCAGAGGCCAUGGCUAACACAGGGAAACGUGGUCUCCAGGACACAAUGGAGAGCUGGAAACACAGCUCUGAACUGCCUCCAACUUCCUGUGUCUUGCCUACUUAGGCCCGUUCUUUAUUUUGCAUAAGAUUUUAGAGUCCCUGCCUAAAAUUGUGAUUUAGACAUCUGCAGAUGGAUGAUGGAAGUCAGCAAAACCAACUUAAUCUUUGUGAUUUCUGUUCCACCACAAUGUGAGGCAGUAAGGAAUCCCACCUGUGUACUCCCUCUGCUGUGGACCCACCUGCUGCUGUGACUUCUCCUCCAUGACUGACGGUAUCUCUCAAACUGUGAGACAAAAUAAAUGCUUCUUCCUUUAAGCUGCUCUUGGCUUGCAUUCAGUCACACCAAUGGAUAUUGUACCUAUUAAAGAAAAUUGAUGUUGAAAA